rnacentral:lncRNA from 1 species
UUUUCUAUUUUCUGCCCUCUUCAUUUUUUCUAUUUUCUAUUUUUCUUUUUUCUAUUCUUCUUUUUUCUAUUUUCUAUUUUUUCUAUUUUCUGCCCUCUUCAUUUUUUUCUAUUUUCUUUUUUCUAUUCUUCUAUUUUUCUUUUUUCUAUUUUCUUCUUUUUUUUUCUGUUUUCUAUUUUCUUUUUUCUAUUUUCUGCCCUCUUCUUUUUUCUAUUUUCUUUUUUCUAUUUUCUGCCCUCUUCAUUUUUUCUAUUCUUUUCCCUCUUCUUUUUUUUUUUUUUUUUUUCCAGCGCUGUCAUUGUGGGGUUUUUGCGUCAUUUUCACCCGGUUUUGUUCCUGCUGUGUCACUCUGGGGGGGGGGGUCCUGGCAAAAAGGCUGUUUUUCCCCAAAACAAUCAGAAAUCUUUUGGGGGAAAAAUGGUUUAAAUCACAGGUGAGUAUAUGUUUGUGCUUGUGCCACGUUGCUUUUACAGUUGGAAACAC